AAGCCGUUGAAGUACACCCUCUGUCAAUCUACCUGCGAGAGAGAACGUGUGAAAUAUGGACGUCAAAAGCUGCGCAAAUUGCCCGGAGAACAUGCAAGUCGGACGAAAUUUGCUUGAAGCUGACUCCGAACAAUCUGCAAAAUUCAAAAGCCGUAUUGUUUGUGUCGUCCCCGGAUGUAAGCAGAGAUAUCGCCCCGGAAUUUCUUUUCAUGCCUUCCCUCCGAAAACGGACAAAUCGCGCCUCCAUUUCACCGUGUCGAACU